rnacentral:antisense_RNA from 1 species
CUUCAGCGAGCCCAGCCAGAGCGGUCGCUCCGGUGACCGGCCACGGCCGUAGACGUCGAUCAGCGCCUGCGCCUC